UACGAAGGGGGCUAGCGUUGCUCGGAAUGACUGGGCGUAAAGGGCGCGUAGGCGGAUUGCUUUGUCAGACGUGAAAUUCCAGGGCUCAACCUUGGGGCUGCGUUUGAGACGGGUGAUCUUGAGUUCGGAAGAGGGUCGUGGAAUUCCCAGUGUAGAGGUGAAAUUCGUAGAUAUUGGGAAGAACACCGGUGGCGAAGGCGGCGACCUGGUCCGAGACUGACGCUGAGGCGCGAAAGCGUGGGGAGCAAACGGG
rnacentral:rRNA from 1 species